AUGGCGGCGGCCCUGGAACCCUCUGGGUGGUGGCAGCGGUGGCGGCGGCGUUUGUCGGCUCGGGAUGGGUCCAGGAUGUUGCUCCUUCUCCUUUUGUUGGGGUCAGGGCAGGGGCCACGGCAAGUCAGGGCGGGUCAAACGUUCGAGUACUUGAAACGGGAGCACUCGCUGUCGAAGCCCUACCAGGGCGUAGGCACAAGCGGUUCCUCCCUGUGGAAUCUGAUGGGCAAUGCCAUGGUGAUGACCCAGUAUAUCCGCCUUACCCCGGAUAUGCAAAGUAAACAGGGUGCCCUGUGGAACCGGGUGCCGUGUUUCCUGAGAGACUGGGAGUUGCAGGUGCACUUCAAAAUCCACGGACAAGGGAAGAAGAACCUGCACGGGGACGGCUUGGCGAUCUGGUACACGAAGGAUCGGAUGCAGCCAGGGCCUGUGUUUGGAAACAUGGACAAAUUUGUGGGGCUGGGAGUAUUUGUAGACACGUAUCCCAAUGAGGAGAAGCAGCAAGAGGUGCAAUCUGGGCAACCUGACUUUUUCAGAGAUCUCCAGGUGAGAGUCCCAUACGUAACCAGGAUGAAGAACCCCUGGAUCAACGUCAGGUCAUUGUUUCCUUAUUAUUUAUUAAACAAAUUUAUUUAUUUAAACUAAAUUCAAAAAAAAAAAAAGAACAAAAGCAGUUUCUGUUUCUUAGUGUCUGUUAUGUGCCAGGCACUUUGCAGUUAUUAUUUUGAUCCUCAUCAGAUCUCCUUAUAGUCAAUAUUAUUUUUCCCAUUUUACCAAUGCAUAAACAGAAGACUGGAGAAGUGUCUUGUCUAAGGUGACAGCCAAUAUAAGGUGGAACCAGAUUUUGAACACUGGUCCACCUGAUUCCACAGGCUGCACUUGUAAUUAUGGUGCUCUGCCACCUCCCGUCCAUUUUUUCCUUAUGCCAGGAUGAUUUCCUUGAGAACGGAGAUACGCAUUCUCGGAGUGAUCUCCUCUGCAAUUUCAGUUCUCAGAGCUUAUGCUCAGUGCAGAGAGUGGAGAAAGUGUACUCCUCUCUACGUCCCAGCGACCUGGUCCUGUCUUAGAGGGUGAGGUCAGAUGUGUUUUGUUAGCGGCAUGGUUUUCUUUGACAUCAUACUUGAAGGUGCCAGGCAUUGUUUUAAGUGCUUUUACAUGUCUUACCUAUUUAUCCUAACAACCCGUUGGGGUAGAUAUUAUUGUUAUCCCUACAUUAUGGGUAAGAAACUGAAGUACAGAAAGGUUAAAAAAAACUCGUCAGUGACACCCCGGUAGUGGGUUUGACUCCAGAGACUGCAAUCUCUUUAUUUUGCUUUAUUAUUUUGAGCUCAUAAGGAGAGGAUGACAAAUAUAGUACCUUUGGAAAAUUUGGAAACAUCGUUUGUUGAAGAUGUGCUGGACAAGGAGGACAAGGAGCAGGCAGCAGGGGCUGUGGAACAAUUCAGCAGAUCGCUCAAGGCAGUGGACGUCAUCAGCUGAUGGUCAUCCGUUUCUCAGGAGAACACAGAUGUUGGUGAAGAGUUGCAGAGAACUCAGUAGCAGUCUUGGAGUAGGAAUGUCUUCUCUCAGUUGAAAUCACAGUGUGGUGGCAAGAGGCCUUCCUGGAAUGAGAGCCCAGAAGUGCAGCCCUUUGCAGCCUUGGCCCUCAUUCUUCCCAGUGAGACCUUCAGGCCUCACCCCUGGAGGCAGAAACAGCUGGUUGGAAAGUGGUGCGAGCAGCUCACUGCUCUUCUCAGAUAGGCCAGCUUGGAAGUCUAGUUUGAGGUGCUUCCUGUAUUUUUUUAAUGUGAUGAUCGUUUUUUCCUCUUUUGAAACUGGAAGAAAAUUAACAAUAAUACGCCAUUCCAAUUGGAAAGCACAUUCCCUCAAAUCUUUAUGUUGAUGAAGGCACUAAUCCCUUUUGGUCUCUUUAUUGUUGGUGGACAGAAUUUUUACAGUUUUAAAGGAACUCCAUAACUUCUUAAAUUCUCUUGUUGUUAUACUACUUGGAUGUGACUUAGGUUUUUUUUUUUUUUUCUCAGUCCUUGGUGAGGCAGUGUUUUCUAAGAGACACUCCUUUGGAAACUAGGUCCAGCAAGCUCUCAGAUGUGAUUAGGCAGUGAGGCUGAGCUUCAUUGGUGAGAACUAGUUUUCAAGGGAAGUAGAAAUGUAUGGCUUUCUGGUAGAUUUGAAUGCAAUAGGAUUUUACAUACAAUGUCAGGAGAUUCACGGGUUCCCCACAGUAGAACGAUAGACAAGAUCUCCUAUUCCGUAGAGUUAACGAGAAGUAUUCACAUGCUACCAUAAUGUUGGUUAGCAGUGAGAUUAAGGUGUUGGCUCUUACGCCGUGUUCUGCAUCUUGGCCCUUGUAAUCUGGGUAGGUGGGUUAUGAACUUCAGUGUUUGGGGCAUACCUCGAGUUUAAGGUUUCCUGAUUUUACAGUACUCUGUUGAAGUCCCCACAUUACAUGGUUUGGGUUUGCUCUAGUUGGGGAUCACAACUAAGAUAAAUGGGAUUAAAAUCAUUCUGUGAGUUUAAGAGUUCAUGAUAAUUAAUGUUCAAGUAUGUGAAGCUCUUCCAGGCAGUCAGCUGGCCUGGAGGCUGCACUGUUCCGUAUCCUCCAGUUGAGGAGCUUUGAGACUUGGAGACAGAGUCACAGCUAGUCUAGUUUAGUAGGAGUUUGGGGGCUUAUGGAGCAGGGGCCUUCGCAUGCUGCUUAAUCUCACUGAUGUUACCCAUUCUAAGUAGGAUGGGUAUUGCUCAGUUAACCAGUCACCUCUAUCCAGAUUCCUGCACAAAGGGUUAGUUGGAUGAAGAUUACUGUAGGACCAGCGACUUAGAAAGUUUUGAAAGUCUGAAAAGUGUCUGUCUGGGAAGUGGCAGUGAGUGUGUUCUUUUGGUGAGCCAAGGGGAAGGUCACAUGGAGGUGUGAAGGGAGGUGCUGUAGAAGAGGCAUUUGUUUUGUUAUUCUUAUUUUUAUGUAAAAGCUCAUUACAGAAAAAUCAGAAAAGACUAAAACAACAACAACUAUACACACCUUUUUAAAAAUGAAAACAUUGCAUCAUAUUUAACAUACUGUUUUUCUAAACCUUUUUUUAAUUUUGAAAUUUUUUAGACACAGAAAAAUUGAAAGUGUGGUAAAUACUAGAUUCAGAUUAAUCAUUAAAAUUUUUAAAAUUUUGAUAUAAUUUCAGACUUACAGAUAACUUACAGUAAUGCAACAAAGAAUUCUAGAAUGCUCUUCACCCAGAUUUCCCAAAAUGUUAAUGUUUUAGUACAUUGGCUUUGUCCUUUUCUUGGAGCACAGGCUCCGGACGCGCAGGCUCAGCGGCCAUGGCUCGUGGGCCCAGCCGCUCUGCGGCAUGUGGGAUCUUCCCAGACUGGGGCACAAACAACCCGUGUCCCCUGCAUCGGCAGGCGGACUCUCAACCACUGUGCCACCAGGGAAGCCCUGUCCUUUUACGUGUAUAUGUGUCUGUCUGUGCCUGUGCUCAUGCGUGUGUGUGUGUGUGUGUGUGUGUGUGUGUGUGUGUGAGUGACCUCAUGCAUAUGUGUACAUUUUUUCUGAACUACUUAAGAGUAAAUUGCCUUCAUCAUGUUUACUUAAUCCUAAAUUCUUCACGUGUUUUCCCUAAACACAGUGAUAAAAAUCAGGAACUUAACAUUGAUAACGAUAUUAUUAUUUAAUCUAUUGACCUUAUCAAUUUCACCAGUUGUCCCCACUGUGUCUUUUAUAGCAAAAGAAAACCCCAGAUCCUGUGUUGCAUUCAGUUGUCACAUCUCUCCUUUCCUUUAAUUUGGAGCCAUUUUCCAGUAUUUCUUUGUGUUUCAGGGUAUAUUAGAGACCUAGGUUUUUUGUUUGUUUGUUUGCUGGUUUUGGUUGUAUCUAAGUAUAUACCAACCAUUGUUCCAUACUGAUUGAUCUUGAGAGCAGUAUGGCAUAGUGAUUGAGCCAGGGCUCCGAAGCCAGACUACCUGGUUUCAAACCCUGGUUUCACUCCUUAAUUCCUGCAUUAUCUUAAACAAGUUUUCUUAACUGUGAAAUGCAGAUCCCAGUACUACCUCUUAGGGUUGUGAGAAUUAAAUGAACGCAUAUGUGUACAUUACUGAGUACAGUGGCGGGCACAGAGUAAGCUCUCCAAAAACGCUAGCUGUUCGUAUUCACACCACUAAGUGACAUUCCCAGGGACGUUUUACCGACAUCUUGGCAGUAGCUGGUGUGGCUCUGUGCUCUCCCUCUCCCCUCCCACCCUCCUUUUUUUCACAUCUAGGUUCCAGGGAGCAAACUCGGCCAGCUUCCUCAACCGCACUGGGGUUUAGGUUGGUAAACCUGCUUUAAGAGAGUGGCUCCUAGAUGCUGGUUCAUAGACUCAUAUUGGUUGGUUACAGAGUUUCACUGGUUUAAGAAUAGGAACAGUGAAGUGACUUUUCAUAAAUGUGAAAUGUUUUAUUAAUUAUUUAUUUAUUAUAAAAUUAUAUAGUUCUUUCUUUUUUUGGUUUAAAAUGUUUUUAAAAAUGAUGUUUAUUAUAGAUGGUUGUCCUGUCAUUCAUUAUUACAUUUUAAUAUAUUUAGUAGGCAAAAAAAAAAAAAGCAAGAAAAGGCAAACCUGUUAAUCCCAAAAAUAUGUUUAGAGAUUUUAGUGGUCCAUGACAGCCAAUGGUCUGGGAAUUACUGCUCUAAAAGACAUAUGUUUGGCUUAUAUAUGAACACCUGUGAACAAUAUAUCUAAAAAUUCAUUAAUAAAUUAAUGAAUGAAUUAACCAAUGACUAAAGUCAUUGGUUGAAUGAACAUUUAUUGACUCCCUUCUGAAUACCAGACACUGUACUAAAUGCUUCACAUAUUUCGUUUCAUCUUCGUAAUUAACCCUGUGAGCUGUGUGUUAUUCUCCCUGCUUACAGUGAGGAAAUAGAAUCUCAGAGAGAUUACACAGGUGUGAGUGGUGUAACUGCAUUUAGAGCCCAGGUCUCCCUGAUUACAGAGGGCUGUGUGCUCUUUUUUACACCUAGUGGUUUCACAGCCUGUGUGCUUUGCACCUGUGGAAUUUUAGCAUAGGGUCCACACAGCCACAAGUUCAUGAGUCUCUUUUCAAUCAAGUUACGCUGAAGAUGCAAUACCGUGUGGAGGGCCUCGUAAUACAAAAAGUUGAAGACAUCUCCCCACCUUUCCGACAUCAACCAUUUGGACAGUAGGUAGGAGUUCCUAAUUUUUGAUGACUCUUAAAUUAGGAGUGAAAACUACCACCUUUGCCGGAGUCAGGGUGAUUCUUAUGCCUUUGGUUCUGGCUAUAUAUAGGCUGCUCUCCAAGGAAAGAAAAUUAGCUGCUGUGUCAAAUGAGUGGGUACCCAAGGAACCCUUCAAGAACUCCUGACUGGGCAUAGAAGUUAAGAUGGCAUUUAAAGACAUCGUUAAUGUGAGGUGUAAAGUGGAAGGCCAAGUUAGGAGUUGCUGAAGUAGACAGAUUCCAGCUCCAAAGCUGUGAGACUGUCUAGGGCAGUAUUUCUUAACUUUGGCUGCACAUCCCAGUCGUCUGUGGUGCCUCUUAAAAAAUACAUAGUCCCUUGCCCCCUGCUAGACCUACUGAGUGAGGCUCUUUGACUGCGGGACCCACGUGUAUGUGCAGUUGAAAAGCUCCCCCAGGUCAUCCUGAGGCCCAGCUUGCCUCUGGCUGAUACUGGAUGAUUGGCUGUUUCACCAGCCUUGGGAAGAGUAAGGUCCCCUUAGGUUAAGGAUCGCUGUCCUAGGCACGCCCUUGCAAGUUACAACUUCAACUUCCGAUCACAGGUGCUGGGGUUGAUACAUGAAGCAAGCCUUCGGAUCCUCAGAGCUCACGAGGGCAUUUUCAAUCCCUUCUUUCCCUAACUGUUUACUGAAGUUAUGGGCUUUCUUGUCAGAAGCCCAUCUUUGGAAACUGCUGAUAACAUACUCAUGAUUCCCUUGCCCUGAAUGAUAGUCGUAGAAGAGUAGUUUUCCAGCAGUUUAAGCAUCCACUGAUUGAUUUCAUACCUUUCUGUAAUCCUGCACAUAUGCCACCAGUGGCACAAGAGAAGAGCAGCUGCUCUGAGGCUUACCCCAGACCCUUGCUGUGGCCUGUAAGGGGCUGGCUCCCUCCUCAACCCACACCAGCCCCUUCUUCACUAGCUGGGUUGAAGACACCCCUGUCAUCUUCUGGUCCUUGAAUAUGCCAACCUCAUGCUUCCUGUGCCCUCAGAUUUUUUGGUGGAUUCCCUCUAACUACUUGGGUCUCAGCUCAGAUGUUGUCUCCUCAGAGAGAGGUUUCCUCAUCAGUCUCUAUUGUGUUACCUAUUUUAUUUUCUUCAUAGCAUUUAUCAGUCUCAAAUGAUUUUAUUUGCUUACUUAUGGUUUGUCCCCUCCACUUUAAUGUCAGCUCCAUGAGAGCAGAUGUCUGCCUAUCUUGUUUACCAUUGAGCUCCCAGCAUCUGGGACUGUGCCUGGCUCGUAAUAGGUGCUCACUAAGUAUUAGAGGGCAGGAACGCUUUGGGUUCUACACCUUUGCCCACACUUCCUGUAGGGCAGGGCCGAGCUGAGCUUGUACGGGUAUCUCUUGUUGCUAGUAGCUUAGAACUGUAGCAGUUUUCUGGAGCAAAGCUAAACAUGCUUGAACCUUGUGAUUUUUCUAAGUCUGUCCUGCUGCAGCGUUCCCACAGAGUUUUUUCUUGCCCACAUGUUGUCGGUUAGAAUAACUGUUUGGAAAUAUUUGUCCAUAAGGCUCAAUUACAGGGUAAAUGAUCCCUUUGGAUUAGAGUUAAUUUGAUAGCCUCUCAAGUGGUGGGAUUUUUGUCUUCUGGGCAAGAGCUGUAUCCUGAGAUCCUGGGCAGUAAAGGACAUCUUGAAUUUGGAAGAAUUUAGCCCUAUUUAUCACUCCUGUCUCUCCCCUUGCUAAAGAAAUACUGUAGUCUGGGUACAGACCAACUCAUGGCCUGACUUUUGGACUGUCAGAGACAUAAGUGAGGCCUGCUUGGAGAGUGUGAUGCUGUGUGUUUUAUAAAGUUUCGGAGAGUUUCAGGACCCCAUGUGGGUUAGAGGGGUCUUCCUAGUGGACCCCUUUGAGAAUCUGAUGAGGGCAGCAGACCCUCUCCUUAGAAAAUGUACAAACACCUGUAGAUAUAGUUUUGCCUGUAAUUUUGAGGGGUAUGAGGACUUGCGAAAUGCCUUCCACGGACCCUAAAAUUCUGUUUGGGGAUUUAGAUUGGUUUGCUCAUCCACCACAGCUGGGUCAUAGCUCUUCCCUGGCUGUUUCUUUCUGACUUGAUCUCCUGUCUUCUGUGCCCUCUCUUGUUUUUAUAAUAACCUGCUGGACCCUGUCAGGCCCAGAAGAGGCGAUAUUCUCCCGGAGUCCAGGUACUUAGUUCUUGACGCACCAUGGCCAUCCCGUACUCCCUAUGUGUCCAUCCAACAUUUGCUACUGUUUAGAAUCCGUGUGGCUGUUGUCUCAGGAGUCACCAGUCUCUGAUUUCGACUGCAUCUUCACCUUGCAUGUUGAUUGUUUAGGACAAUGAGGGACUCACCAAAGAAGUGGCAUGUCUCAUUUUCCUGUCCUUUCAUCCCCCUGCCUCUCUGCACUGCCUUAGCACUGGGCUUGUGGUUAGCUCAUCAUUUCUAGGGAAGAAUUUGCUCCACGAGUCUAUUGGAGAGAGAGGGCCUCUGAAGUAGGUGAGAAAAUGGGUGGCAUAUGGGGAAACUCUCAGUGGGAGAACCUCGCCCUGAAUAUUAGUGGGAGAAGUUAUGUGUUGUGAAGCUUAAAUGGGCUGGAUGGUCUCUUGCCUAAGAACAGUCACGUGUGGUUGGAGAACACCACCUUGCAGCCUGGUUCUGGCGCUGCCCUUUCUGAGUCCUGACCCACUUAGCAUCAUAUGCUUAUAGAAUUUUAGAAUUUGAAAGGUGCUAUCCUGAAUGGAAAGAUUUCCCUGAUUGAACAGGUAUUUUCGGAAUACAUCUGUGUGCAAAAUACUUGCCCUGCGGGGGGAAGGGAUGGAGCUAAGGUGGACACAUGCACAGAGGCAUAAUAAAUGAUUUUUCUCUUCAAGAAAUUUACAUGGCAAUUACACACACACACACACACACACACACACACACACACACACACACACAGAGACACGAAGAAAAACAACAGUCUUGGGUAGACUAUAAGUGCCAAAUGGCGAUCUUUGGGAGGAUUCCAGUCAGACUCCAGAGUGUCAGAGGGGCCAUUUCAGACCCACCCCAAAUGGGUGCAAGGAGGAUUCCUGAAGGCAGGUAGAGAGGUCAGUCACUUACUUCUGGGCCAUGUCCCUCGAGCGACCAUCUCAGUGUGGGUUCUCAGAGGCUGCUAGUGAUGAGACAGAGUGGUUGUCUGGUCUGCUGUGAGGAGCUCAGCUUUAUGUGCAGAAUUCC